AUAUUUAAGGUCUAACCUGCCCAAUGAAAAAUUUAAAUGGCCGCAGUAUUUUGACUGUGCAAAGGUAGCAUAAUCAUUAGUUUUUUAAUUGAAAGCUUGUAUGAAGGGUUGGACGAGAUAAAAACUGUCUUAGGUUAAUUUAAAUUAGAAUUUAAUUUUUAAGUUAAAAAGCUUAAAUUUUAUUAAAAGACGAGAAGACCCUAUAGAUCUUUAUAAUUUAUUUUUUAAUUAAAUUUUGGAAUUAUUUAUUAAUUAAUAUAUAUAUUAUUUUAUUGGGGUAAUAUAAAGAUUAAAUUAAUUCUUUAAUUAUAUAUACAUUUAUUUAUGAUUAUUUGAUCCAGUUUUAUUGAUUAUAAGAUUAAGUUACCUUAGGGAUAACAGCGUAAUUUUUUUAGAGAGUUCAUAUCGAUAAAAAAGUUUGCGACCUCGAUGUUGGAUUAAAAAUUAUCUUAGGUGCAGAAGUUUAAGAUUUUGGUCUGUUCGACCAUUGAAUUUUU
rnacentral:rRNA from 1 species